rnacentral:rRNA from 1 species
AGUGAACGCUGGCGGUAUGCCUAACACAUGCAAGUCGAACGGCAGCACAGUAAGAGCUUGCUCCUACGGGUGGCGAGUGGCGGACGGGUGAGGAAUACAUCGGAAUCUACUUUUUCGUGGGGGAUAACGUAGGGAAACUUACGCUAAUACCGCAUACUACCUACGGGUGAAAGCAGGGGAUCUUCGCACCUUGCGCGAUUGAAUGAGCCGAUGUCGGAUUAGCUAGUUGGCGGGGUAAAGGCCCACCAAGGCGACGAUACGUAGCUGGUCUGAGAGGAUGAUCAGCCACACUGGAACUGAGACACGGUCCAGACUCCUACGGGAGGCAGCAGUGGGGAAUAUUGGACAAUGGGCGAAAGCCUGAUCCAGCCAUACCGCGUGGGUGAAGAAGGCCUUCGGGUUGUAAAGCCCUUUUGUUGGGAAAGAAAAGCAGCAGGUUAAUACCCCGCUGUUCUGACGGUACCCAAAGAAUAAGCACCGGCUAACUUCGUG